rnacentral:lncRNA from 1 species
CAGGGCCCACCAUGGGUGUUGACGGCUUCAUGAUGGUAAGAAGAGAACCCCCAGUCAUCCAGCUGGCGUGGCAGCCAAAGAGAAACACUUAAUCGGAUGGAGAUGCUCCACCAUGUGAAGAUGUGCUGGCUUCCCCUUCACCUUCUGCCAUGAUUGUAAGUUUCCUGAGGCCUCCCAGCCAUGCCUCCUAUACAGCCUGCAAAACUGGUCAAGCCAUCUGUAAGUGAGGAACCUGUCACAGUCUCUCUCUCAAACAAUCUACAAGCAAGACUGAAAACAGAUUUCUAGAGAUGAUGAGAAGAAGAUGAUGAGAAGACCUUGGGGGCAGUUGCGAAUUCAUAACAUUUUGAAUGGAAAGAGCAUUGGAGAUCUUCUGUCUCCAGUCUUGUGAUGGUAGAUGCCAGAAGGACUGUCACCCCAGCUGUGACAACCAAAAAUGCCUGCAGACUUUGCCAAAUCUUCCUUAGGGAAGGCAAAAUAGCCUGCAGUUGAAAACCACUGGGACAGAUCAGAGCAUCCCCUAGGGUAUGUCCCUUUACUCUGAGCAUUGUUUCUCUUUCUUUCUUUCUUUUCUUUCUUUCCUUUCUUUCUUUCUUUUUCUUUCUUUCCCUCCCUCCCUCUCUUUCUUUCUUUCCUUUCUUUCUUUUUUCUUCUUUUUCUGUUUUUUUCUUUUUCUUUCUUUCUCUUUCUUUCUUUCUUUUGAAAGGCUACAUAAUAUCUAUUCUUUGUUAAUGGAAAUUCGGGUUGCUUAUAAUUUUUUAACAUUUAUUUUAAGUUCAAGGGUACAUGUGCAGGCUUCUUAUGUAGGUAAACUUAUGUCAUGGGGGUUUGUUGUACAGAUUAUUUCAUCACCCAAAUAUUAAGCCUAGUGCCGAUUAGUUAUUUUUAUUUUUCCUGUUCCUCUCCCCACUUCCCCCUCCACCCUCCAUUGGGCCCCAGUGUGUGUUGUUUCCCUCCAUGUUAUUACUGCCAUUUCUUAACUCUGUCUUUCAUGGGUCCCCAAUGGGCUGGUUGGUUGAUGUAAUCUUUGCUUCAGAGCUGCAAAGUGUGUCUAUUAUCACUCGUUCCAUUUGAAUCUUACAGUAGUAACAGAUAUAGGUUACAGUGCAGAGACCAAUUAACUAGUCAAUUAGAUAGCACCUGGUAUCUAACUGACUAGUUAGGCAGUCUCUUCAUUGUAAACUAUAUCUGUUACUUUUCAAUGGCAAGAACCACAACUACUUUUGCACCAACCUAAUAUUUUUAGGUCCAAAAGCUCAACUGUGAGACCCACAGAUGCCUCGUCUGCAAAUGACCAGACUCUUUGGGGUUUGAUGUAGAAACCAGACGUCAGUAUGUUCACGUGUAAUGAGGAGUAAAACUUUCCAUACCCCAGCACUAAGUGCUUAUUAAUAAGCAAAAUUAAAAAUCAGAAAUCUGUUUAAUAAAUACUGAGUUGAAGAGG